rnacentral:rRNA from 3 species
GGACUACUCGGGUAUCUAAUCCCGUUUGCUCCCCUGGCUUUCGCGCCUCAGCGUCAGUAGAGAUCCAGUCGAGCGCUUUCGCCACCGGCGUUCCUUCUGAUAUCAACGCAUUUCACCGCUCCACCAGAAGUUCCCUCGACCCCUAUCUCCCUCGAGCACUCCAGUAUCCAAGGCACUUCCCCAGUUGAGCUGGGGGCUUUCACCCCGGACUUGAACUGCCGCCUACGCGCCCUUUAAGCCCAGUGAUUCCGAACAACGUUCGCACGGUUCGUCUUACCGCGGCGGCUGGCAC